rnacentral:rRNA from 1 species
AUUGAACGCUGGCGGCAUGCCUUACACAUGCAAGUCGAACGGCAGCACGGGAGCAAUCCUGGUGGCGAGUGGCGAACGGGUGAGUAAAGUAUCGGAACGUGCCCAGUCGUGGGGGAUAACGUAGCGAAAGUUACGCUAAUACCGCAUACGAUCUAUGGAUGAAAGCGGGGGAUCGCAAGACCUCGCGCGAUUGGCGCGGCCGAUAUCAGAUUAGGUAGUUGGUGGGGUAAAGGCUCACCAAGCCGACGAACUGUAGCAGGUCUGGGAGGCCGACAAGGAAACCGCGGAGUGAGGAAAGUCACAGACUGCUACGGUAGGCUGUAGUGGAGAAUUAAGGACAAUGGCGGUAGGCAUGAUCCAGCCAGACGGCGUGUAGGAUGAAGGCUUUCGGGUUGUAAGCUGCUCUUGUACGGAACGAAAAGGUUUGGCCUAAUAAGCUGAGCUCAUGACAGUAACGUAAGAAUAAGCACCGGCUCACUACGUGGAAGCCGCCGCAGUAA